GUGGGAGAGAGGGAGGUGGGCGUGCACGGCUGGCCAACUGGGCCGCUCACUGGGCCAAGGUGGUGGGGAAAUAGGGGAGGGCACACUGUUGGGCGAGAGCCUAGGCCGCGUCCGUGGGAGCUUGGGCCGAGGCCGAGAGAGGAGGGGAGGGAUCGGCGCGCGGCUGGGCUGCGGGAAAAGAAGGAGCAGGCCUUCAAGUCGAAUUUCCAGGGAGAGGUGAGGGUUUCCUUUUCUUUCUCUCUUUUUUUUCUUUUCUUUUCUUUAUUUCAAAGCCAAUUCAAAAACAAUUUGAAAAUCACUUUGAAUUACUUUUGAACUUUAGUCAAACCACUCAUGUCAACAAAAAUUAAUGCAAAAGCAUGAAUGCACAACAAGUUGCUAAGUCCUAUGAUUAAUUUUCUUUAAAUGAAAGUAUUAUUUUCCUAUGUUUCAUGAGCACAAAAAAAUACAAAUUAAAUUAAAUUCUCCUAUUUUUAAAUACUGGCAAACUUUAGGGUGUUACACCUGGACUUAUCAACAUGGUGCAAUCCAACCAGUUCUAUGGGAAGACACACGAAGAUGCUAGUGCUCAUCUCCAACACUUCCUGGAGAUUUGCAGCACAUUCACCAUAUCAGGAAUCCCCAGA
rnacentral:lncRNA from 1 species